rnacentral:rRNA from 1 species
GUGGGGAAUCUUCCGCAAUGGACGAAAGUCUGACGGAGCAACGCCGCGUGAGUGAAGAAAGUUUUCGGAUCGUAAAGCUCUUUCGUUAGGGACGAACGUGCUCUUUGUGAAUAAUGAGGAGUAAUGACGGUACCUAAAUAAGAAGCCACGGCUAACUACGUGCCAGCAGCCGCGGUAAUACGUAGGUGGCAAGCGUUGUCCGGAAUUAUUGGGCGUAAAGCGCGCGCAGGCGGGAUAUCAAGUCUGUCUUAAAAGUGCGAGGCUCAACCUCGUGAGGGGACAGAAACUGGUAUUCUUGAGUGUCGGAGAGGAAAGUGGAAUUCCAAGUGUAGCGGUGAAAUGCGUAGAGAUUUGGAAGAACACCAGUGGCGAAGGCGACUUUCUGGACGAUGUCUGACGCUGAGGCGCGAAAGCUAGGGGAGCGAACGGGAUUAGAAACCCCUGUAGUCC